CUGGAGAUGGAGGAAGUUUUUGGGAGCGAGGAAGAGAAGAGAUUCUACAGGAUUUGCUGGCCGAGUGUGAUAAUGGCAGCUGACACAGCUUUCCACCAGUUACUCCUGUAAGGAGCCUCUGGAGCAUUCUACUGCUUGAGGCUGUGUAUAUGGAAACAAAGUGGAAAUCUGGAUGUUUGAUGAAGAGACAUGCCAGUGUCCUUUCUGAAGUGAUGCCUUAGUAGGCUGAAGGACAGGACAACCAUGGACUACAUGAGUUAUUCUCCAUCUCAGUGCUGCCACUGGUUUUAUCUUGAAUCUUAUCUUUAUCUAAAUUUUAUCUUUAUCUGGAAUACCAGAGUCCAAGUUUUAACAUUCCAACUUUAAUGUGCAUCUCUCUUUAUAUGGUGGAAGGCAAUUCAGAGGCUGCUUUUUCUUGCUCCCCUUUGUCCAUAUGUCACUGCAUGCAAGCAAUAUCAUAUUGUCAUCCUGAGAGGAGCAGAUGGGCUGGUUCCUUCUGGACAACAAUAAUUCACUGUGGUUUUCCCUUUCCCCUAUGAAAUUUGUACUAAAAAAAUGUUGUCCUGGAGUAAUAAACCUGGAGCCAGAUGGACCUACCAUUUGAACUUCACAGCCUUACACCAAAAUAAAUUCUGGCAAAUAUUA